rnacentral:rRNA from 1 species
UACGUAGGGGGCAAGCGUUAUCCGGAUUUACUGGGUGUAAAGGGGGCGCAGACGGCGAUGCAAGCCAGGAGUGAAAGCCCGGGGCCCAACCCCGGGACUGCUCUUGGAACUGCGUGGCUGGAGUGCAGGAGGGGCAGGCGGAAUUCCUGGUGUAGCGGUGAAACGCGUAGAUAUCAGGAGGAACACCGGUGGCGAAGGCGGCCUGCUGGACUGCAACUGACGUUGAGGCCCGAAAGCGUGGGGAGCAAACAGG